UAUCAAUCCGUCCUCUACUAAAACCAUACCCGCUGAAAUACCUAGCAUGUAUGGUAUUCAAAUGGACUAUAGAAAAUUUGUGGUUAACUAUUCCUCUUAAGGAUAUCGGCUCAAAGAUAAACUCCUUAAUAAAGUAAAACCAACAAUAAAUAUUU